AACGAACGCUGGCGGCGUGCCUAACACAUGCAAGUCGUACGAGAAACACGUCCUUCGGGAUGUGGAGUAAAGUGGCGCACGGGUGAGUAACACGUGGGUAACCUGCCUCGGGGACCGGGAUAACUCCGCGAAAGCGGGGCUAAUACCGGAUAAGACCACAUGAGCUUCGGCUCAAGGGGUCAAAGUCGGCCUCUCGAAGAAGCCGGCGCCUGGAGAUGGGCUCGCGGACCAUUAGCUUGUUGGUAGGGUAACGGCCUACCAAGGCCAAGAUGGUUAGCUGGUCUGAGAGGAUGAUCAGCCACACUGGAACUGAGACACGGUCCAGACUCCUACGGGAGGCAGCAGUGAGGAAUAUUGCGCAAUGGGGGAAACCCUGACGCAGCAACGCCGCGUGGGUGAAGAAGGCUUUCGGGUUGUAAAGCCCUGUCAGGUGGGAAGAAACCUCUGCAAGUGAAUAGCUUGUAGAACUGACGGUACCACCAAAGGAAGCACCGGCUAACUCCGUGCCAGCCGCCGCCGUAACAC
rnacentral:rRNA from 1 species